UUCCUUUUUUGGUUCAUAAGCAUGAUGAUCAGGUUUUUUACAUGCCUGUGUAAUAUGUGCCUCCCUUCAACCUUGUUACGUCAGCACAUGACCCUUCUGACA